CUAGAGAUAGAGCUUUCCCUUCGGGGACAAAGUGACAGGUGGUGCAUGGUUGUCGUCAGCUCGUGUCGUGAGAUGUUGGGUUAAGUCCCGCAACGAGCGCAACCCUUAUUGUUAGUUGCCAUCAUUUAGUUGGGCACUCUAGCGAGACUGCCGGUGACAAACCGGAGGAAGGUGGGGAUGACGUCAAAUCAUCAUGCCCCUUAUGACCUGGGCUACACACGUGCUACAAUGGGAAGUACAACGAGUCGCUAGACCGCGAGGUCAUGCAAAUCUCUUAAAGCUUCUCUCAGUUCGGAUUGCAGGCUGCAACUCGCCUGCAUGAAGCCGGAAUCGCUAGUAAUCGCGGAUCAGCACGCCGCGGUGAAUACGUUCCCGGGCCUUGUACACACCGCCCGUCACACCACGAGAGUUUGUAACACCCGAAGUCGGUGAGGUAACCUUUUUGGAGCCAGCCGCCUAAGGUGGGAUAGAUGAUUGGGGUGAAGUCGUAACAAGGUAGCCGUAUCGGAAGGUGCGGCUGGAUCACCUCCUUU
rnacentral:rRNA from 1 species